rnacentral:rRNA from 1 species
AACGAACGCUGGCGGCAUGCCUAACACAUGCAAGUCGAACGAGACCUUCGGGUCUAGUGGCGCACGGGUGCGUAACGCGUGGGAACCUGCCCUUAGGUUCGGAAUAACUCCCCGAAAGGGGUGCUAAUACCGGAUAAUGUCUUCGGACCAAAGAUUUAUCGCCUUUGGAUGGGCCCGCGUUGGAUUAGCUAGUUGGUAGGGUAAAAGCCUACCAAGGCGACGAUCCAUAGCUGGUCUGAGAGGAUGAUCAGCCACACUGGGACUGAGACACGGCCCAGACUCCUACGGGGGGAGGCGGGGGGGAAUAUUGGACAAGGGGGGAAGCCCUGACCCAGCAAGGCCGGGGGGGGAAGGAGGCCGUUGGGGUUGAAAACCUUUUUUCCCCGGGAGGAUAAUGACGGUACGGGGAAAAAAAGCCCCGGCAAGCCCCGUC